rnacentral:rRNA from 1 species
CGAAGCCCUUCGGGCUUAAGGGCGCACGGGUGCGUANCGCGUGGGAAUCUGCCCUUGGGUUCGGAAUAACAGUUAGAAAUGACUGCUAAUACCGGAUAAUGUCUUCGGACCAAAGAUUUAUUGCCCAAGGAUGAGCCCGCGUAGGAUUAGCUUGUUGGUGAGGUAAAGGCUCACCAAGGCGACGAUCCUUAGCUGGUCUGAGAGGAUGAUCAGCCACACUGGGACUGAGACACGGCCCAGACUCCUACGGGAGGCAGCAGUGGGGAAUAUUGGACAAUGGGCGAAAGCCUGAUCCAGCAAUGCCGCGUGAGUGAUGAAGGCCUUAGGGUUGUAAAGCUCUUUUACCCGGGAUGAUAAUGACAGUACCGGGAGAAUAAGCCCCGGCUAACUCCGUGCCAGCAGCCGCGGUAAUACGGAGGGGGCUAGCGUUGUUCGGAAUUACUGGGCGUAAAGCGCACGUAGGCGGCUUUGUAAGUUAGAGGUGAAAGCCCAGAGCUCAACUCUGGAACUGCC